GAAAGGCACUCGCGCUUGGGCUUGGAUUCCUCGUCUAGGGUUUUUCUAGCUGGUGCUAGAUCGCCGAUCGAUGGAAGGACGGCGGCGCUGGCGUGCAUUUCAGUCGCCAGAGAGGAGCGAAAUCUUGGAGCGAUGGCGCAGCAUCGGCAUAUACAGCAGGUUUUCUUCGCAGUGCGAGAUGAAAGGAAGUAAGUUCAUCGCCACGGCCGCUCUGGACAGUGGACGAUGAACAAGGCGCAUUGGCAUUUCUCUCCCAGGUCUUGGAUCCACGGGCAACUCACGAGUGCUGGGCUUACAAUCUUAGAUCAAAGAACGCUAUCGUGUUAGCGAUGGUGGAGAGCCUGGAGGGACGGCAGGAAGAUGCUGCCAGAGAAAAUUCUGGUGUGGAUGGAGUUAUGAUCAUUGUCACGAGGUACUUUGGUGGAACGAAGCUUGGAACUGGAGGAUAGUUCGAGCUAAGCUAUGACGAAGACGAUGAAAGUAGCAGUGUAGAAAUCCAACUCUGGUCGAUGCUGGUAGAGCUGACGAACUUGAGAGCUCUCUCACCAAUGCAUGCAGAGCCUCGAGGCAUCACAAUUCGACGAGCUACAACAACCAAAUCCCAGACGGUCUGCAAUGGGUAGCACGGUCCAAGCUGGUAUGCAAGCACUGGGCUCGCAUGCUGGAUGAUCCGAGUUUCAGGCUCCUGUGGAGACAAAAUGGUCACUCUCAAUCCAAAAUCGUGUUGUUACUGCACCACCGACUUGAUGAACCUACUCGGUACUUGCGAUAUCACCUUCCAGCUGGCCUCGAAAUGAACCCGUCAUAAAAGAGCUGCCGGAUUCUUGGGAGUCUCGGUUUGCACCCAAAUGUUCUGUGCCAUACCUUUCUCACGCGGCCUCGUCUUAUGCGACCGGAGGAAGAUCUUCGUCAACAAGAAGCAUUUCCUGGUGGGGAAUCCACUGACGCAGCAAUGGGUCCAGGUCCCUCCUAUCGACAGUUUUAUCGACAAGUGCACACAGGUGCUGGCGACGUAUGUCAGUGACGGCAAGCAAUUCUUCCCGAUCUGGCUCUCCCCGUAACUGUUUGACUCAAGGCUGGGUAUUUGGACACUUACUCGCUACCCGGCGUCUCUCAACACGGUGUUCAUUGGAGGGUUGCAGUACGGUCUCGGUUACUUCUCGGAGCACUCCGCACUCGUGCUGCUAGAGAUCGAAGAUGUGGCGGAGUUUAGCGGAUCCAAAUGGGUAUAUGCGUGGGACGGGGAGAAAGAUGUCUUCCAGCGAGGUGAAGGUGACUUCUACAUUGAUUUAUACAUGCUUGAAGCUGGGGGGCGAGGUUGGAGUGCUGUUCACACGUAAUUCUAAAGCUGCCGUCGCGGUACUGGACAGAGAAAAUCACCCUUGGACAUGGAAAGAGGUGGCAACUUUAGAGGGUGACUUUUGCUACUGGGACUUUCGCAAGUGCUGUGCGCAUGGAAAUCUUACGUUUGCGGUUCUGGGGAGCAGGGUGGCAGUGUUUGAUUCUCGGAGCGUGACAUAGGAGUGGCUUGAGGAGGGGUGCUACACAAAGUGCAGACUUGACGAUCGUACUUUAGUCGUGGAGCUUGAUUUCGCGGCCGUGGCAAAUGUUAACACGCCCAGCGCUUGCACCACGUUUUUGUUCCUCAUUCUCAGAGUUGACUUACUUUUCCCGAGACAGUACUGAAAAGUGCUUUUCAGGGGGACUGCUUGUAAAAGAUGGCGAAUUUUUUUUUUAACUUCUUGGAAUAGCAUACUGAAAAACAUUGGACUCUCUCGAUUUUUAUUUAGUGAUAUGUAUUCGGUUCAAUGUGCAACAUGAGCUCGGAAACAUUAACAGGAAGCGAUGAAAGCGACCAUAAAGAAAUCCACAAAAGGUGCUGGCUACGUAUUCCAGUGACAGCAAGGUGUUAUUCCAGAUCUUGCGGGUCCAAACGAACCAGUUGAAGGUGGCUACAGUGCUUCAUACAUGCUGAAAGCUGGGGCAAGGCUGGAGUGCUGUUUCUAUAGUUGCGGUCCUCGUGCUGUAGAAAGGAACACAUCCUUGGACAUGGAAAGUUGGGCCUCGGAGUUCAUUUUUUCUUUUCUGUUUGUCACAGAUGAAAGGAUUUUGCAGACAUGGCCAAGGAUUGGAGCUGAAGGUAAUGUAAAGCGGCCCGUGCUUUAAACUUCUAGAGACGCUACUGUGACCGUGCAUCUCAGGGGACUUCUUGUGAAAAUGUAACUUCUUUCAUGGUGAGAAAUUAUAAACAUGGGCUCAGAAACAUCGACAGAGAUACAUGAAAGCGGCAACGAAGACAUUUACAUAACGGCAGACUCAAUAACUCGUGGUCUGAGGUGCUCCCGAGAAGAAGCCUAUGGUUUUCCAUCAAUUUCAUCAGCUUGGUAUGAAGUUGAAACAAGAAGAAGAUGAGCACAAACCUCUUGAGCGUUCCAUGCCCGUUGUUCCCCAUGACGAGAACAUUCGCUUGUUCCUUUUCAACAAUCUCGCAGAUGUGAUCUCGGGGGUCUCCAGACUUUACAAUCGUCCUGACUUUCACCUUGGGACGAAGGAAGAAAGCAGCGUCUUCCCACUUUCCAGGACUUCCACCGCGGCCUCCUCCUCUUGCAUUUUGAUCGCAUCGAUCAUCUCCUGGGUCGUGAUCCCUGUCCAAAGCAAGCUUAUCCAUCAAAGAGCAAACAGGAAAGUUUUUCUCAUCUUCUAGCAAUCAACUUACCGAGAUUACAGUUCGCUGGAGGAACUUGCUGGGUGUGGAAGAGAACGAUCUCGUCCGAAUCCUCAUCCCUCUCGGCUUUGCGAAAGACCAAAUUCUCCAAGACCCAGUGAAGCGCUUGCGUGCUCAAGUUACUUCCAUCCAUGGCCACCACCACGACCUUUCCCUUACCUCUCUUUCGCCCCUCUCCAUCUUUAGCCUCUCGAUCAUUGUGGCUAACAUCAUUGGCAGCUAUCAUCUCACCUCCAUCGGCAGUGGCGUGACGAUCUAUUUUGCUCUCUUCCACGGCCAUCUUCUCUUCUCUUUUCCUAGGCUUUGUGAAACGCUCGCCUUUUAUACGUGAUUUAUGUGCCAGGGGAUUGGAGGCGCGUGGAAAAUGGAAUGUCCGCUUGGACUGUAAUGCGCCCAGUGACGUGUCCAGGCUUGGCUGGUCGCGCAAAGCAAGCCCCGAAAGGCGAUUCCCUAGGAUAAUGCCAAAUCAUUUAUUCGAAUCCUAAAA